rnacentral:lncRNA from 1 species
ACUAUCACAUAGGUUGUUUCUUUCUUUCCGAAAAACAUUUGUACACUACUAAAUUCAUUGAGCAUAUAUUGGAUAUGGUGAAGAGAUUCAAGGGAAACAGCAAGGAUGACGUCAAGUGCUUCUCUGAUAUGAUCUUGUGGUACAUGCAAGUUCGACAGGAAAUUUUUGGCAUCAUUCCUAAAGUCUACGAAGUUUAGAAGUGAAUUUAAGGCUAAUAGUUAUGUGCCUCAAUUAACGCAAAGGGGGAGAUUGUUGGGUCUUUGAUGUUGUGUUAUAGGGCCUUUUACUUAGUCAUUUUGUAUUAUCAAGUUGGGCAUGCCCACUCGUUAUUUAUUCUAGGGAUAGAUUAUUAAAGAUGCAUGCAUGCAUCAUAUUUUAGUUAAUUUUUAUCUUUUACUUUGUAACCCUAAUCAUGCCUCUACAGUAGUAAUUCUUCAUAGAGUUCGCCUGAGGCGUGAUGUUUAAUCAUUCGAAUUUCUUGAAUCGUUAUUGUGUUCAUUAUUUAUCUGUUCUUGAAUCUAAUCAAUCAUUAAGGAUUUUAAUCCUAACAAAUUCUUAUAGAAUGAUAGACUUUAUAUGUAGGAUAUGCAGGUAGAAUGCAACUAUGUAUAUGAGUAUGGGUAUUUCCAUGGUUAGUGGAUUAUGUAUCAAAUUGACAUGUAUGAUAUUCUGGUAAAAUUAAGCAUUGUAUAUGCAUGCUCAUUUUUGUUAGUAUCUUUUUUAUUCUGUUAGAAUUGUAACUAUGUGUAUAGUAUGUUUACUUUAUGUUAGUAUAUUUUUAUUCUGUUAGAAUAAUGAAUUAAAUUGAAAUAUUCACAAUUCUUGUAGAAUGAUAGACUUUAUAUGUAGGAUAUGCUGGUAGAAUGCAACUAUGUCUAUGAAUGUGAGUAUUUCAAUGGUUACUGGAUUAGGUAUCAAAGUGACAGGUAUGAUAUUCUGGUAGAAUUAAACAUUUUAUAUGCAUGCUCAUUUUAUGUUAGUAUCUUUUUAUUCUAUUAGGAUUACAAUUAUGUGUAAGUAAAACAAAUUGUGAUUCUUAAUGAACAAUCAAGGUAAAUACUUUAUUAAACGACAUAACAAAUAACAUUUAUGUGAACCGAACAAAUUAAAAUGAAAUGUCAUUUUAUUAAAUCCCAUUAAAGUAACAUACAAAAAAACUAAUUAUGGACGUUCUUUAAAGGAUAAUUUCUUUUGUUAUGAUGAACCAUCUGUUCACAUGUAGCAC